CAGUCGAACGGACUUAAUCGAUUCUUUUAGAUUCGAAGCGGUUAGUGGCGGACUGGUGAGUAACACGUAAGCAACCUGCCUAUUAGAGGGGAAUAACAGUGAGAAAUCACUGCUAAAACCGCAUAUGCCGUGAACAUCGCAUGAUGAAAACGGGAAAAGAGCAAUCUGCUAAUAGAUGGGCUUGCGUCUGAUUAGCUAGUUGGUGUGGUAAAGGCAUACCAAGGCAACGAUCAGUAGCCGGACUGAGAGGUUGAACGGCCACAUUGGGACUGAGAUACGGCCCAGACUCCUACGGGAGGCAGCAGUCGGGAAUAUUGCGCAAUGGAGGAAACUCUGACGCAGUGACGCCGCGUAUGGGAAGAAGGUUUUCGGAUUGUAAACCAUUUUAGACAAGGAAGAAACAAGACAGUACUUGUAGAAUAAGCUCCGGCUAACUACGUGCCAGCAGCCGCGGUAAUACGUAGGGAGCAAGCGUUAUCCGGAUUUAUUGGGUGUAAAGGGUGCGUAGACGGGAAGGUAAGUUAGUUGUGAAAUCCCUCGGCUCAACUGAGGAACUGCGACUAAAACUGCUUUUCUUGAGUGCUGGAGAGGAAAGUGGAAUUCCUAGUGUAGCGGUGAAAUGCGUAGAUAUUAGGAGGAACACCAGUGGCGAAGGCGACUUUCUGGACAGUAACUGACGUUGAGGCACGAAAGUGUGGGGAGCAAACAGGAUUAGAUACCCUGGUAGUCCACACCGUANACGAUGGAUACUAGGUGUAGGGGNUAUUAAGUCUUCUGUGCCGUCGCAAACGCAGUAAGUAUCCCACCUGGGGAGUAC
rnacentral:rRNA from 1 species